GGGACUAUAGCUCAGAUGGUUAGAGUACCUCGUUGACAUCGAGGGGGUCACUGGUUCGAGUCCAGCUAGUCCCACCA
rnacentral:tRNA from 1 species